UACGUAGGGUGCGAGCGUUAAUCGGAAUUACUGGGCGUAAAGCGUGCGCAGGCGGUCUGUUAAGACCGAUGUGAAAUCCCCGGGCUUAACCUGGGAACUGCAUUGGUGACUGGCAGGCUAGAGUGUGGCAGAGGGAGGUAGAAUUCCACGUGUAGCAGUGAAAUGCGUAGAGAUGUGGAGGAAUACCGAUGGCGAAGGCAGCCUCCUGGGCCAACACUGACGCUCAUGCACGAAAGCGUGGGGAGCAAACAGG
rnacentral:rRNA from 2 species